CUCUGCUCCUCUGCUCUACCUGCUUUUCAGGUACGCCUCUUCUGUCUCCAUGGAAAUUUCUAAGCUUCCUGAAGUUUUUAACACCAAGUCCAGUAUCACUCCCUCUACCAUAACUAACUUCUUUUCUCGGAGGUAUUUGGACACUCCCCUUUAUCUUAUCCGAGCUCCUCUCCGGAACGAGAGGAUUGUUCUUCCAGAUCCUCCUCCUCCCGGUUUGAUAGAUCCCCAGAAGGAUCGUAGCAUAGUCUUUUUUGUUAAACAACGGGACUUUGGUCUAACUUUUCCGUUUACCUCCUUCUUUACCGAGGUUUUCCAAUAUUUCAGGAUAACUCCCCGAAUGCUAUCCCCAAAUUCUAUUUUGU
rnacentral:lncRNA from 1 species